GAGUUUUCUUUCUUUGUUGGUUUUCUUUGUUGAAAUGGAGGAAAAGAGAAUUAACCCAUGGUGUAGCAAACAUUUAGACAUGGCAUCAAAUAGCUUAAAUAAUAAAUUCUAGUAAUUUUGCCUCUUUCUAACAUUUCUAGGGUCUUCAGAUUUGCCUCCUGUGUGUGGAGGAGAAUUUCCCCCUCUGAGUGCCACAGACCGAAGUGGUUUCUAUCUUUGUCUCCUUCUUCCCAACCUCCCCUCCACCCAGUCAACUCUAUUUAUCGCCUUUAAUUGGGCAUGAUAAGACGAUGCAAUUUAAAUAUUUUUAUUGAAUUGAGCCAUGUGUCCUUCACCUAGAUUAACAGACUACUAAACAGAAGGCUUUACAUUUCCUUCUUUCUUUCAAAAAAGAAAUAGAAAAUACAUGUCAACAGAGCCGUCAAUCAAUUAUUUCAGUGGAUCAUUCGCAAGUUAUAGGAGAAAUUAGAAGUCCUUCUGCUUUCAUCUUAGGGGAGAGGAAUUGAAUUUCAAGAGAGUAGAAAACCCAGACUCAUCUUGAACUUCAAAACACCUUCCCUGAAUGACCAACUCAUCUGUAAUAAGUCAGCCUCCAGCUUUAAGACUCAGCUUAGCUGCAGGCUCAGGAGAAAAGAAGUGCUGUCGUAGCCUCCGAGACCACAAGGAAU
rnacentral:lncRNA from 1 species